rnacentral:lncRNA from 1 species
ACAGCUUGAGUAUAGGUUCACACGUGACUGUUAGAGGAGAUAUGAACCAUGACAUGUAGUUCAAUAUACCCAGGAGACCACGAUCCUCUUUUUCCGUUCUCGGUUCAGGCAUUUCUUGUAUUUUUUUCUUCUUCUUCUUUUUUUUUUUUUUUUAAGCAAGAUCAACCUCGAUUCCUCUCUUACAAUGAACCCCAACAUCUUACCGGACCGCACUCUGAUAGUGCACUU